rnacentral:rRNA from 4 species
UGGGGAAUAUUGGACAAUGGGCGCAAGCCUGAUCCAGCCAUGCCGCGUGAGUGAUGAAGGCCUUAGGGUUGUAAAGCUCUUUCACCGGAGAAGAUAAUGACGGUAUCCGGAGAAGAAGCCCCGGCUAACUUCGUGCCAGCAGCCGCGGUAAUACGAAGGGGGCUAGCGUUGUUCGGAAUUACUGGGCGUAAAGCGCACGUAGGCGGAUAUUUAAGUCAGGGGUGAAAUCCCAGAGCUCAACUCUGGAACUGCCUUUGAUACUGGGUAUCUUGAGUAUGGAAGAGGUAAGUGGAAUUCCGAGUGUAGAGGUGAAAUUCGUAGAUAUUCGGAGGAACACCAGUGGCGAAGGCGGCUUACUGGUCCAUUACUGACGCUGAGGUGCGAAAGCGUGGGGAGCAAACA